rnacentral:lncRNA from 1 species
UAGAAAUCACAGAAGUAACUGCUCCCCCUGAGGAUAAUCCUGUAGAAGAUUCACAGGUAAUUGUAGAAGAAGUAAGCAUUUUUCCUGUGGAAGAACAGCAGGAAGUACCACCAGAUACUUAAAGCUUCAAAAAGACUGCCCCUACCACCACAGGAGGACCAGCCUAACCAUACGCUCCAAAAGAUGGCUGUGAUAGAUCUUGUGAAGCAAUUACUGAGCAGAUCAAGAUCUUUGGGAAGGAACACUAAAGAUGUUUUGAAUGAAUUAUAGUCCACUGGCAUUUUAGUGUAUUUUUUUUUCUUUUUAGAAACACACAUUUCUAAAAAUGUCAUGUUACAUUCCUGCAUGUCCCUUUUGAUAGCAUUAGUGGAUCCAUUGGAUUUCUUUUUUCUUUUUGUGAGACAGCUUUUAGUCUUACCUGAAUUUAUGUGUGUUUUUCCGACAGUGGUUAAUAAUUAUAUUGGUGAUGUAGCAGC